rnacentral:rRNA from 1 species
GACGAACGCUGGCGGCGUGCUUAACACAUGCAAGUCGAACGAUGAUGCCCAGCUUGCUGGGUGGAUUAGUGGCGAACGGGUGAGUAACACGUGAGUAACCUGCCCCUGACUCUGGGAUAAGCGUUGGAAACGACGUCUAAUACUGGAUAUGAUCGCCGGCCGCAUGGUCUGGUGGUGGAAAGAUUUUUUGGUUGGGGAUGGACUCGCGGCCUAUCAGCUUGUUGGUGAGGUAAUGGCUCACCAAGGCGACGACGGGUAGCCGGCCUGAGAGGGUGACCGGCCACACUGGGACUGAGACACGGCCCAGACUCCUACGGGAGGCAGCAGUGGGGAAUAUUGCACAAUGGGCGAAAGCCUGAUGCAGCAACGCCGCGUGAGGGAUGACGGCCUUCGGGUUGUAAACCUCUUUUAGUAGGGAAGAAGCGAAAGUGACGGUACCUGCAGAAAAAGCACCGGCUAACUACGUGCCAGCAGCCGCAGUAA